rnacentral:rRNA from 1 species
GAUGAACGCUGGCGGCGUGCCUAAUACAUGCAAGUCGAGCGAACAGACGAGGAGCUUGCUCCUCUGACGUUAGCGGCGGACGGGUGAGUAACACGUGGAUAACCUACCUAUAAGACUGGGAUAACUUCGGGAAACCGGAGCUAAUACCGGAUAAUAUAUUGAACCGCAUGGUUCAAUAGUGAAAGACGGUUUUGCUGUCACUUAUAGAUGGAUCCGCGCCGCAUUAGCUAGUUGGUAAGGUAACGGCUUACCAAGGCAACGAUGCGUAGCCGACCUGAGAGGGUGAUCGGCCACACUGGAACUGAGACACGGUCCAGACUCCUACGGGAGGCAGCAGUAGGGAAUCUUCCGCAAUGGGCGAAAGCUUGACGGAGCAACGCCGCGUGAGUGAUGAAGGUCUUCGGAUCGUAAAACUCUGUUAUCAGGGAAGAACAAAUGUGUAAGUAACUAUGCACGUCUUGACGGUACCUAAUCAGAAAGCCACGGCUAACUACGUG